UACGUAGGGUGCGAGCGUUAAUCGGAUUUACUGGGCGUAAAGCGCGUGUAGGCGGCUUUGCAAGUCGGAUGUGAAAGCCCACGGCUCAACCGUGGAAGUGCAUCCGAAACUGCAUUGCGAACCGGCCUGGCUAGAGUGCAGGAGAGGGAAGCGGAAUUCCAGGUGUAGCGGUGAAAUGCGUAGAUAUGUGGAGGAACACCGAUGGCGAAGACAGCCUCCUGGGCCAACACUGACGCUCAUGCACGAAAGCGUGGAGAGCAAACAGG
rnacentral:rRNA from 1 species